rnacentral:rRNA from 1 species
GACGAACGCUGGCGGCGUGCUUAACACAUGCAAGUCGAACGGAAAGGCCCUGCUUUUGUGGGGUGCUCGAGUGGCGAACGGGUGAGUAACACGUGAGUAACCUGCCCUUGACUUUGGGAUAACUUCAGGAAACUGGGGCUAAUACCGGAUAGGAGCUCCUGCUGCAUGGUGGGGGUUGGAAAGUUUCGGCGGUUGGGGAUGGACUCGCGGCUUAUCAGCUUGUUGGUGGGGUAGUGGCUUACCAAGGCUUUGACGGGUAGCCGGCCUGAGAGGGUGACCGGCCACAUUGGGACUGAGAUACGGCCCAGACUCCUACGGGAGGCAGCGGUGGGGAGUAUUGCACAGUGGGCGGAAGCCUGAUGCAGCAACGCCGCGUGCGGGAUGACGGCCUUCGGGUUGUGAACCGCUUUCGCCUGUGACGAAGCGUGAGUGACGGUAAUGGGUAAAGAAGCACCGGCUAACUACGUG